ensembl:lncRNA
CUCUGGGUUUUGGUUUCCCAACAAGGAAUGGUUGUGAGAGACAGUCUAGGGUGGGGGUGGGGGAAGGGUGUGGGGGAGGGUGGGGGUGGGGGGAGGGGGGUCUGGUCUGGGGCACACCGGACCUGGCUCCAAUUCCAGUGGUAGGCACGGCCUGGACAAGACCCGGUAACUUCCCUGGCCCUCAGUUUCCUUAUUUGCUAAGGAGCUAAGGAGAUGCCCUCCAGGGGGUGGAGAGGCCCAGUGAGGGGGGACCCCGGGAGAAGGGAGAGGCGCUUUUCCUGCUUCUCCCAUCACUUCCUUCUGCGCUGCGUUGGGAACGUUUCCUCCCUCCCCACCACCCUCCAAACUAGCCGCAGCUCCAGCUGCCAGCCCUGGUUUGGCACAGGUCUGCCCACAGCCCAGGCAGGCGGUCCAGGGCAGGGGGUGGAAGGGGGUGGGUGCUUCUAUGGCUCAGACUGAGGAGGGCAGACAGGAACUGGAAGAGACCAGUGCAUGGGGCGGAGGGUGGUCCACCUGCCUCGCCCCACCCUCCGGAGAUUCAGGGGGUCUGCGGUAGUGGGGAGCAAGAGCUGGAGGGGCGGCCAGCUCCAGCCACAGCUGCUUCCCAGGGCCUUCCAGCCAUGCGGCUCCCUGGAGCCCAGGAGGGACUGGCCACGUGCCAGCCCUGAGUGGAAAUGUACCAGCGAGAAGGACCCCGCUGGGGACCCUGGGGAGGGGUCGCUCCCCUCCCUGAAGCAAGUCCCUCCCUCCGUCCCCCUUCUUAGUCGCGCCAUGUCCAAGCUCUGUGAGCAGAGGGGCAGGGGCAUGCUGGAAAGGUCUGCAGAGGACUGCGGUGGGGGCUGCAUCUGCGGCCUCCCCGGCAACAAGUGCACCCAGAAGGGUUUGUAGAUCCGUGACUUGAGAGUCCCUUGGUCUGCAAGAAGAUCCAGCCAGUCCAUUCUAAAGGAAAUCAGUCCUGGAUGUUCCUUGGAAGGACUGAUGCUGAAGCUGAAACUCCAAUACUUUGGCCACCUGAUGCGAAGAACUGACUCAUUGGCAAAGACCCUGAUGCUGGGAAAGAUUGAAGGCAGGAGGAGAAGGGGACAACAGAGGAUGAGAUGGUUGGAUGGCAUCACCGACUCAAUGGACAUGAGUCUAAGUAAACUCCGGGAGUUGGUGGUGGACAGGGAGGCCUGGCAUGCUGCAGUCCAUGGGGUUGCAAAGAGUCAGACAUGACUGAGCGACUGAACUGAACUGAACUGACCCCUUUGUGGAGGCAAAGCCGUCGUUCAAAACAGCGCCCUCAACUUCUAUUACCAUAUGUAAAAUAGACAGCCAAGGGGGAGUUUGCUGUCUGGCUCUGGAAACUCAAACAGGGGCUCUGUGUCAACCUAGAAGGGUAGGAUGGGGAGGGAGGUGGGAGGGAGGUUCAAGAGGGAGGGGAUAUAUGUAUACCUAUGGCUGAUUCAUGUUGAGGUUUGACAGAAAAACAGCAAAAUUCUGUAAAGCAAUUAUCCUUCAAUUUAAAAAAAAAAUUAAAAAAGAAAGAAAACAGCACCCUCCUCCAUCCACAACCUGUCCUGGUCCCACGAACCCUGCGGCCCGUCCAGCCCAAAUCCCAUCCCUUCCCCCUCAGCAGUGCACCCGCUGAGUGUGGGUUCCGUGGCUCUUUCCUCCGUGGCCAGGAGGUGGCGAAAGAGACCUCGACGCUGGCCUUGGUGAGGGAUUGGAGCCACAGCGGCUUCAGGAAGGGGAGGGGGCUGAACUCUGCCCAGUGGCAGGCACGCAGGUGUGUGGCAGGGCCAAGCCCGGCACAUAGGCAGAAGGAGGUGGAGCUGCUGGGUCAGCGCAGCGUCAGGAGGGCUCCAGGCGGUUCCUGCCCCCUUGUCUUUCACCACCUCCUGACGUG